CAAGCAGCUUGGUGAAGACCCUAGAGAGAGACAGAGACUACCUCCCCCACUCCUGCAGUUCUGCUGCUGAUGGGAAACUAGGCCCAACUGCAGCUGCUUCUGGGAUCAAAGAUACUCUGUCCCCUUCGCAGCUGAUACAUUAUGAAGGCAAAAACAAAAGGACAGGAAGAGCAGUUCUGCUUGGCAGGAUAAUUCUUGCCAUCAUCCUAUUAGUUGAGAGGAGGAGCUAGAAACUCAGAGAAGUAAAGUAACUUGCCAAGACUUGGAAACAGGCUCCCCUGAUACAGCAAUUUCCCCUUCACACACAAACUGUUUCUCAAGACAAGGGAAGGAGUAUGGAAAGGGAGCCCCUUAACAUGUAAUGACAGUUUUAAUUUAGCAGAUGAUGAAGCUGGGCUCACAGAAGUGAAGUGAUUGGUUCAAGGUGACAUAAAAUCAGCAAGUGGCAGAGCUGGGAUUUGAACCCUAGUUUGCCUGACUCCAAAG